CCAUUUUACCCCAUAAAUACAUGUUUGUAAAGAAUUAAAUAUGUCAAACCCCGACUUUUCAAAGAAUGAACCCAAAAAAAAAUGAAGGAGAAGGAGAGAUAUAGGCGCGUACGUUUCACGCUCAUUAUUAUUGGCCGUUCGUUAAUCUUUCUAUUUUCCAAUGCUCGACGGGUCACAUCGCAAGCUGAUUGUUUCUCUUGUUUGUUUCC